rnacentral:misc_RNA from 1 species
GAUGAAGAACGCAGCGAAAUGCGAUAAGUAGUGUGAAUUGCAGAAUUCAGUGAAUCAUCGAAUCUUUGAACGCACAUUGCGCCCUUUGGUAUUCCUUAGGGCAUGCCUGUUCGAGCGUCAUCUAAACCUUCAAGCCCUGCUUGGUGUUGGGUGCCUGUCCCGCCUCCGCGCGUGGACUCACCUCAAAUCCAUUGGCGGCCCCCGCGUCGGCCACGAGCGCAGCAGAAACGCGAACUCGUGAGCCCGUCCGGGCGGCUCCCAGAAGCUAACCCCCAAUUUUUGACCUCGGAUCAGGUAGGGAUACCCGCUGAACUUAAGCAUAUCAAUGCGGAGGA